rnacentral:rRNA from 1 species
GAUGAACGCUGGCGGCGUGCCUAAUACAUGCAAGUCGAGCGAACAGACGAGAGUGCUUGCACUCUCUGACGUUAGCGGCGGACGGGUGAGUAACACGUGGGUAACCUACCUAUAAGACUGGGAUAACUUCGGGAAACCGGAGCUAAUACCGGAUAAUAUUUAGCUUCGCAUGAAGCAAUAGUGAAAGACGGUUCUGCUGUCACUUAUAGAUGGACCCGCGGUGUAUUAGCUAGUUGGUGAGGUAACGGCUCACCAAGGCAACGAUACAUAGCCGACCUGAGAGGGUGAUAGGCCACACUGGGACUGAGACACGGCCAAGACUCCUACGGGAGGCAGCAGUAGGGAAUCUUCCGCAAUGGACGAAAGUCUGACGGAGCAAUGCCGCGUGAGUGAAGAAGGUUUUCGGAUCGUAAAACUCUGUUGUAAGGGAAGAACAAGUACGUUAGUAACUGAACGUACCUUGACGGUACCUUACCAGAAAGCCACGGCUAACUACGUG